rnacentral:rRNA from 1 species
AUGCUUCUGCGGCGGCUGGCUGCGGUAAUCUUGCUCCUCCUGUUCUCUCGGGACGUCGCCGGCGCCCAAGAGUUCGUGUACGACGGCUUCGCCGCCGGCAAAGUGGCGACCACCGACGCGGCCGUGGUCACCCCGUCCGGCAUUCUCCAGCUCACCAACGACACCAAGGAGACGCUCGGCCACGGCUUCUACCCGGCGCCCCUCCGCUUUCGGGACGCCAACACGGGCGCGCCCGUCUCCUUCUCCACCACCUUCGUGCUCGCCAUCGCGCCACGGUACCCAGACGCGCACGGCCACGGCAUCGCCUUCGCACUCGCGCCGUCCGUCAACGUCCCGGGCGCCGUCGCCGGCAAGUACCUCGGGCUGUUCAAUACGUCAAACAGCCUGGGCAACGGCACGAGCCAGAUCGUGGCCGUCGAGCUCGACACGGUCAUGGACACGGAGUUCAAGGACGCCGACGACAACCAUGUCGGCGUCGACGUCAACAGCCUCCACUCCGUCAACUCGGCCACCGCCGGGUACUGGCACGACGACGGCUCCGGUGGGAGGAGAUUCGACAACAUCAGCCUGACCGGCGGCAGCGAGGCGCCUGUGCAAGUGUGGAUCGAGUAUGACGGUGACAGCGCGCGCCUCGAGGUGACCGUGUCGCCGGCGGGUGAGCCCAGGCCGGCCCUCCCGCUCUUGUCGUGCCACGUCAACCUCUCGUCGGCAGCAGCCGAAGAUACCUACGUCGGCUUCUCGGCGGCGAACGGCGCCGCCAUGAGCUCGCAUUACGUUCUUGGCUGGAGCUUUCGCCUCGGCGGAGGCCGCGCGCCGGACCUCGACCUCUCCAAGCUCCCGAGGCCCCCGUCGCCGCCGGGACCAUCCAAGAAGAGGAUGUCGCUUCUACUAAUCCUGAUACUGCUCCUCCUGGCUGUCCUGCUCCUGCUCCUGGUGUCGGCGGCCAUCGCGAUGUUCGUCGUGCGGCGGCAACGGUGGCGCCGACAACGCCAGGAGUUCUCCGAGGAGGAGGAAGGCUGGGAGAUGAUAGAUUACAGCCCACACAGGAUCAGCUACAAGGACCUGCACGACGCCACCAAUGGCUUCCGCGACGUCAUCGGCGUGGGCGGCUUCGGCCGCGUGUACCACGGCGUGCUCCCGAGGUCCGGCGUCGAGGUCGCCGUCAAGAAGGUGUCCCACGGGUCGCAGCAGGGGUUGCAGGAGUUCGUGUCGGAGAUCACGAGCAUGAGCCGGCUGCGCCACCGCAACCUGGUGCAGCUCCUCGGCUACUGCCGGCGGCGCGACGAGCUGGUGCUCGUCUACGACUACAUGCCCAACGGCAGUCUGGACCAGCACCUGUUCGGCCGCGCCGCGCCGGGGCUGAGCUGGGAGCAGCGCGCCAAGAUCGUCCGGGGGGUCGCCGCCGGACUGCUGUACCUGCACGAGGGGUGGGAGCAGGUGGUGGUGCACCGGGACAUUAAGGCCGGCAACGUGCUCCUCGACGCCGACAUGAACGGCAAGCUCAGCGACUUCGGCUUCGCGCGGCUCUACGACCACGGCGGCGACCCGCAUGCGACGCACGUGGUCGGCACGCUCGGGUACAUCGCGCCGGAGAUGAGCAAGACCGGCAUGGCCACCACGAGCUCCGACGUCUUCGCCUUCGGAGCCUUCCUGCUGGAGGUGGCGUGCGGCCGCAGGCCCGUGGUGUUCACCGUGGACGCCGACGGCGACUCGCCGUCACCGGCGGGGAUCGUCGAGCUCGUCCUCCAGCGCUGGAAGGCCGGGAAGAUCACGCAGGCUCGGGACCCGAGGAUCGGCGAGUGCGACGAGGACGACCUGGAGCUGGUCCUCAAGCUGGGGCUGCUCUGCUCGCACCCCGACCCAGAGCGCCGGCCGGGCAUGAGGCAGGUGGUGCAGAUGCUGGAACACGCCGUGCCCCCGCCAGAGAUGUCGCCGGAGGUUAUCAGCGAGAGCAUGAAGCAGUUCGAGCACCAUGAGGCUUUUGACGAGUUCGUCGGAAUGUCAUUCCCGUCGACGUCCGAGGUCACCACCGCCACGACGCAGCAAUUCUCAAACGGCAGCCGUCCUCGUAGUGACUUCCAUUCAAGCUAG